GCUUUCACUGCCCAGCUGGAUGAGGGGGAGAGGUGAAGGAGCAUGUGCGUUGAUUGUUUUUGCAGCAUGCAGACGAGGAAUAGGUCCAUGAAGGUAAAAAUGCCUACGGCCUACAAAAGUCAUACUGCAGCCCCAGGGAAAAGAGGGCAAAAUGUGAAUCCUGGAGAUAAUUUACAGCUGUGUGAAGGAUGAAUCCCACCGGUGGUUCCUAACUGUGAUCUGGCUGCAUCAGAUGUACCUGAGUAAACACAGAUUCCCUACUAUGCAGCCGUAAAAAGGAAUGAGAUCAUGACCUUUGCAGGGACAUGGAUGGAGCUGGAAGCUGUUAUCCUCAGCAAACUAAUGCAGGAACAGAAAACCAAACACUGCAUGUUCUCACUUAUAAGCGGGAGCUGAAGAUGAGAACACAUGGACACAUGGCAGGGAACAACACACACUGGAGCUUGUCAGGGCAUGGGUGGGGCGGGGGAAGGAGAGCAUCAGGAAGAAUAGCUAAUGGAUGCUGGGCUGAAUACCUAGGUGAUGGGUUGGUCUGUGCAGCAAACCAUCAUGGCACACGUUUAUCUAUGUAACAAACAUGCUGCACAUGUACACCAGAACUUAAAAUAAAAGUUGAAGGAAAAAAA
rnacentral:lncRNA from 1 species